GACGAACGCUGGCGGCGUGCUUAACACAUGCAAGUCGAACGGAAAGGCCCUGCUUUUGUUGGGUGCUCGAGUGGCGAACGGGUGAGUAACACGUGUGUAACCUGCCCUUGACCUUCGGAUAACUUCCGGAAACUCGGGCUAAUAUCCGAGAGGAGCUCCUGCUGCACGGUGGGGGUUGGAAAGUUUCGGCGGUUGUGGAUGGACUCGCGGCUUAUCAGCUUGUUGGUGGGGUAGUGGCUUACCAAGGCUUUGACGGGUAGCCGGCCUGAGAGGUUGACCGGCCACAAUGGGCCUGCGAGACGCACCAGUCUCCUACGGGAGGCAGCAGGGGGGAAUAUUGCACAACGGCGCGAAGCCAGAUGCGGUAACCCCGGGUGCGGGAUGACGGCCUACGGGUUGUAAACAGAUUUCGCAUGUGCCGAAGCGUGAGUGACGGUAAUGAGUAAAGAAGCCACGGCUAACUACGUG
rnacentral:rRNA from 1 species